rnacentral:rRNA from 1 species
UACGUAGGGGGCGAGCGUUGUCCGGAAUCAUUGGGCGUAAAGAGCUCGUAGGCGGCUUGGCAAGUCGGAUGUGAAAUCUCCAGGCUCAACUUGGAGGGGUCAUUCGAUACUGCCAUGACUAGAGUUCGGUAGGGGAGUGUGGAAUUCCUGGUGGAGCGGUGAAAUGCGCAGAUAUCAGGAGGAACACCCGUAGCGAAGGCGGCACUCUGGGCCGGAACUGACGCUGAGGAGCGAAAGCGUGGGGAGCGAACAGG